rnacentral:tRNA from 1 species
UGGUAGUAUACUAGUAUAUUUUCCUUCCAAGAAAAAGGUCCUUAUUAGGUCAUUAGUUUG